GCAAGUGAUAACAUUGCUGUCGCCUGCACAUUUAGAACAAUUAUUGGUAAUGCCAAGCGGCACUGACAUUCAUUUCACAAUUCAAGAAAGUGGACAUGUGAUGCAGAACCAAUAGCUGGAUUUUGGUGAAGAGAAACAAAUUCUCAGUUUUUCUUUCUCAAAGCAAUAAUCAAUAGCGUAAUGGGUCCGCAAAUAAAAGUAGAAAUACUAUCAUAAUUUGAAAUCCCAAUUACAUUAGAAUUAGAAACCAUAAUUCAAUCCCAAUUAGAAAUACUAAAUA
rnacentral:misc_RNA from 1 species